UACGUAGGGUGCGAGCGUUAAUCGGAAUUACUGGGCGUAAAGCGUGCGCAGGCGGUAAGUUAAGUCUGAUGUGAAAGCCCCGGGCUCAACCUGGGAAUGGCAUUGGAAACUGGCUUGCUGGAGUGUGGCAGAGGGGGGUGGAAUUCCGCGUGUAGCAGUGAAAUGCGUAGAGAUGCGGAGGAACACCGAUGGCGAAGGCAGGUCUCUGGGCCGAUACUGACGCUGAGGAGCGAAAGCGUGGGGAGCGAACAGG
rnacentral:rRNA from 1 species